AGAAAUAAUAAAAAAUUAUAAAAGAAUUGAAAGAAAAUCCAUAAUAAAUCUUAAAAGAGUCCUUAAGAAGUCCUAAAAAUUAUUAAAAUAAUCAAAAAUACAUCUUAAAUAAAUAUCAACCAAUUUUUGAUUUAAGCCUAAUUGAAACCUUGAUGGAUUUCAAUCAAAUCCUAAACAAAUUCUAAAUCCUAAACAAAAUUCUAAAUCAAACCCUGAACAAAUCCUAAAUCAAACUCUAGAAAAAUCCUAAAUCCUAAACCGAACCCUAGAUCAAAUCCUAGAUCCUAAACCAAACUCUAAAUCAAAUCCCAGGUAAAUCUUAAAUCCUAAGACAACUCCAAGAUCAAAUCUUAGACAAAUCUCAAAUCCUAAAUCAAACCUUAGAUCAAAUCCUAGAUCCUAAAUCAAAUCCUAAAUCAAAUCCUAGAAAAAUCCUAAAUCUUAAAUCAAACUCUAAAUCAAACUCUAAAAAAAUCCUAAAACUUAAAUCAAAUCCUAGAUCAAACCCAAGAUUCUAAAUCAAAUCCUAAUCAUAUUCAAUCUAAUCCUAGCAUAGUUUAAAACCUUAAUAUCUAUCAAUUGAAUCAUUGAUCUUGCUUAAAAAUUUACACACCUUUUAACCACUGAAUUGGCAACAAACACACCAAAUUUGAAGAUAAUUGCACUUAGCAAAUAGAAGAAAAAUCCUAAAAUC
rnacentral:lncRNA from 1 species